AGACAGGGUCUAUCGCCCUGGUUGGAGUGCAGCAGUGUAAUCAUAGCUCACUGCUGCCAUGAACUUCUGGGCUCAAGCGAUCCUCCCACCUCAGCCUCCCUGUGUGCUGGGAUUAAAAGUGUGAGCCACCAUGCCUCAUCAUAAGGGUCUUCAAAGAAACCCUAUUUCAUUUUGCUUUCCAUAUGCUGGAUGAUGUGUGUGGAUUUUCAGUGUGUGUUUCAGAGUCUUAGAAGCUCAUGCUAGCUUGCUUAACAUACCUGCUAUAACUCAUGAUAUAGAACCCUAUGGAGAACUGUGUUGCAACAUGGAUGCAGUGCCUAUACUAAGGCACAUUGCCAAGCUGAAGACUGUCAGAGAGCAUCACUAACGGAGGAUGGCAGCAGCAGCCCAUCCAGAAUGGCUGCUGCCAACAUGCCGGCUGCAGCGGGGAGGCACAGCCAGUCCUCCCACUCCACAGAGCAGGCAGGAGUCCCGCCCCUGGGCCCCAGGCCUCCUGCUCCAAGGGACAAGUGCGACCCCUGUCCCUUCCGAAUUGGCAGGGCAGGAGCUCCUCAUGGGCAGCUGCAGCCACCCAAGCCCAGCUGUGGACCUGGGCAUCUCUGUGUUCUUGUGGGGCUGGGGACCUAGUUGUCUCACCUGUGGUGGUGGAAAGAGCACCAAGCUUGGAAACAGAGGGUCCAGGUUCGGGUCAUUGUCAUCGUGUAAGCAUGGGCAGGCCACUGUCAUAAGGACGCCUGGAAGAGUGAAGAAAGGCCUGAUUGAUCACAAGGUCCUAUCAAAUGUCAAAGCUGGCCCUGGCUGACCUCCCAUCUAUUCAGAGCUGCUUUGAUUUAAUCUCCAAACUGGCUGCUUCUCC
rnacentral:lncRNA from 1 species